UACGUAGGGUGCGAGCGUUGUCCGGAAUUAUUGGGCGUAAAGAGCUCGUAGGCGGUCUGUCGCGUCGAUCGUGAAAACUUGGGGCUUAACCCUGAGCUUGCGGUCGAUACGGGCAUGACUGGAGUUCGGCAGGGGAGACUGGAAUUCCUGGUGUAGCGAUGAAAUGCGCAGAUAUCAGGAGGAACACCGGUGGCGAAGGCGGGUCUCUGGGCCGAUACUGACGCUGAGGAGCGAAAGCGUGGGGAGCGAACAGG
rnacentral:rRNA from 1 species